UAAUUAAAACAGACGAGGUCAAUGGGCGAUCAAGAAGGCCCAUAGCCUAGGUGGUGACCUCCAUUUCACUUUGGAAGAGUGCCUUCCUAAGGACGAUCCAAGUAGUUGAUCCUACGUCAUAAUUUGUGACAACGGGGGCUUGCAUUUGCACGGCCCCUAC